rnacentral:rRNA from 1 species
AGUAAAUAGAUACCCCGGUAGUCCACGCCGUAAACGAUGAGUACUAGGUGUAGGAGGUAUCGACUCCUUCUGUGCCGCAGUUAAACACAAUAAGUACUCCGCCUGGGAAGUACGGUCGCAAGAUUAAAACUCAAAGGAAUUGACGGGGGCCCGCACAAGCAGCGGAGCAUGUGGUUUAAAUUCGAAGCAACGCGAAGAACCUUACCUAGACUUGACAUCCCCUGAAUAACGUAGAGAUACGCGAAGCCCUUCGGGGCAGGGAGACAGGUGGUGCAUGGUUGUCGUCAGCUCGUGUCGUGAGAUGUUGGGUUAAGUCCCGCAACGAGCGCAACCCUUAUCAUUAGUUGCUACCAUUUAGUUGAGCACUCUAGUGAGACUGCCCGGGUUAACCGGGAGGAAGGCGGGGAUGACGUCAAAUCAUCAUGCCCCUUAUGUCUAGGGCUACACACGUGCUACAAUGGUGAGAACAACGAGAUGCAAUACCGCGAGGUGAGCAAAACUUCAAAACUCAUCUCAGUUCGGAUUGUAGG